rnacentral:tRNA from 1 species
GAAAGAUUAGUUUAUAUAAAACAUUAAUCUGUCAGAUUUAAGAAACUUAUGGUAUUUUUCU